rnacentral:rRNA from 1 species
CCUACGGGUGGCAGCAGUGAGGAAUAUUGGUCAAUGGACGAGAGUCUGAACCAGCCAAGUAGCGUGAAGGAUGACUGCCCUAUGGGUUGUAAACUUCUUUUAUAUGGGAAUAAAAUGUUCCACGUGUGGGAUUUUGUAUGUACCAUAUGAAUAAGGAUCGGCUAACUCCGUCCCAGCAGCCGCGGUAAUACAGAGGAUCCGAGCGUUAUCCGGAUUUAUUGGGUUUAAAGGGAGCGUAGGUGGAUUGUUAAGUCAGUUGUGAAAGUUUGCGGCUCAACCGUAAAAUUGCAGUUGAAACUGGCAGUCUUGAGUACAGUAGAGGUGGGCGGAAUUCGUGGUGUAGCGGUGAAAUGCUUAGAUAUCACGAAGAACUCCGAUUGCGAAGGCAGUUCACUGGACUGCAACUGACACUGAGGCUCGAAAGUGUGGGUAUCAAACAGGAUUAGAUACCCCAGUAGUC